rnacentral:rRNA from 1 species
GGAAUCUUCCACAAUGGGCGCAAGCCUGAUGGAGCAACACCGCGUGAGUGAAGAAGGGUUUCGGCUCGUAAAGCUCUGUUGUUAGAGAAGAACGUGCGUGAGAGCAACUGUUCACGCAGUGACGGUAUCUAACCAGACAGUCACUGCUAACUACGUGCCAGCAGCCGCGGUAAUAUGUAGGUUGCAAGCGUUAUCCGGAUUUAUUGGGCGUAAAGCGAGCGUAGGCGGUUUAUUAAGUCUGAUGUGAAAGCCCUCGGCUCAACCGAGGAAGUGCAUCGGAAACUGGUAAACUUGAGUGCAGAAGAGGAGAGUGGAACUCCAUGUGUAGCGGUGGAAUGCGUAGAUAUAUGGAAGAACACCAGUGGCGAAGGCGGCUCUCUGGUCUGUAACUGACGCUGAGGUUCGAAAGCGUGGGUAGCAAACA